CUGAUGGCUGUGACAUAUGCCCUUCAGGACACUACUGUACUGAUGGUAAUAGAAUUGAGAAAUGCCCUAAAGGAUAUUAUUGUCCACCGCAAACUAGUCUCAACUGGAAGAAGUGUCCAAAAGGUACAUAUAGUGCAGCUCUGGGUCUACAGGCAAUGUCUGACUGCACUCCAUGUGAUGCUGGUUUCUUCUGCAGUGAAGAUGGAGCAGAUCAAGUGGCUGGGCCAUGUUCACCUGGAUAUUACUGUCAGAUGGGAGUUGACACUCCUACACCAGAAGGCAACAAUGCAGGCAUAGGAGGGCCAUGUUUGGAAGGUACUUUUUGCCCACCUGGGAGCUCAAAACCAACUUCAUGUCCAGCAGGGAGCUAUAGUGACAGAAGCCGUCAGUCGGAGUGUGAUCUUUGUAAACCUGGGUAUUACUGUGC